AAUGAACGUUGGCGGCGUGGAUUAGGCAUGCGAGUCGCGCGAGAAUGUAGCAAUACAGGACAGCGGCGAAAGGGAGAGGACAACAUGGGAAUCUGCCCUGGGGACGAGGAUAGCGUCGGGAAACUGACAGUAAUACUCGAUAAUGUUUGCGGACCAAAGGUGUGAUUCCGCCCCAGGAUGAGCCCGUGCCCCAUUAGCUUGUUGGCAGGGUAACGGCCUACCAAGGCUAUGAUGGGUAGCUGGUGUGAGAGCACGACCAGCCUCACUGGCACUGAGACACUGGCCAGACACCUACGGGUGGCUGCAGUCGAGAAUCUUUGGCAAUGGACGAAAGUCUGACCAAGCGACGCCGCGUGCGGGAUGAAGGCCUUCGGGUUGUAAACCGCUGUCGUAGGGAAUCAAAUGUAUUGGGGUACUCCCCUCUACUUGAGAGAUCCUAGGAGGAAGGAGAGGCUAAGCUCGUGCCAGCAGCCGCGGU
rnacentral:rRNA from 1 species